AGCAUAUAAGUAAGCGGAGGACAAGAAACUAAAUAGGAUUCCCCCAGUAAUGGCGAAUGAACAGGGAAGAGCUCAGCAUGGAAAUCGGGGUCUCCCGACCUUGAAUUGUAGUCUUGAGAUGUACUGCCAACGGAGGCGCAGAUGUAAGCCUCUUGGAAAAGAGCAUCAACGAGGGUGAGAGUCCCGUUUGUCAUCUGCAGUCCCCCGUGCACGGUGUACCUUCUAAGAGUCACGUUCCUCGGGAUUGGAGCGCAAAGUGGGUGGUAAAUUUCAUCUAAAGCUAAAUAUUGGUUCGAGACCGAUAGCAAACAAGUACCAUGAGGGAAAGGUGAAAAGGACUUUGAAAAGAGAGUUAAAAGUGCCUGAAAUUGCUGAAAGGGAAGCGAAUGGAACCAGUGUUCUUGAUGAGAUUGUCGCGUACUCUGGUGAUUGCUGGGUGCUCCACCGCAAGGGGGGCAUUUGGUUUUGAGCUAGAUGUGCGUGGUGUUUCUUGUCUUGUGUGUCACCGUCGGUGCACAAGCGAGUAAAACUCCAGGGAACUGGUAGCUCGUCCAUGGAUGAGCGAAUGUCUUUGGCAGUACUCAUUUGUGUAUCGAUCCCUGCGUGUCUGGUUGCAGUGUUUGAGUCGUCUGGAAGCUUCUGAAAGGACUUGUCCUCGAAGGACUUUCUGGGCACCUUGAGCAUCUCCCUGACACAAAGACGAUGACUAAAUGGUUCUAUUCGACCCGUCUU
rnacentral:rRNA from 1 species